UGGGAGCUUCAUUCAUCUUAUACAAUAAAAACUAUAAAAAAAACUUUGAAUUAUUUUAGAAUUAUUUAUUCAGGAAAAAUAUCGAAUAAUUAGUUAUCGUGAAGCAAUUUUCAUUUCAAGAUGAUUUUCAUAAAUAUUCUGCUCAAAUUUAUUUAAUUAUACCCUUAGUGUAAUACUAAACUAACUAAGCUCCUUCAGUAAGAAGACCGCUUACUAAACCAGUUUUUCCACAUUCAAUUAUCAGAUUCAAUUGAUGCGAGUAUUUAUAACUAAACAUACUAACUAAUUAUUAUAUAUUACACACACUUGCUUCACACACAUUCACAUUAACAAACGUCAAAAUUGUGCGCGAUUAAAAGCUCAUUAUCAUUCCGAAAACAAAUGCAAAACAAAGUAAUUAUCGUUAGAACAGCGAUUCACUUCAGUUACUUAAAAUGUAAUUGUGACUUGACUUGUUUGUUAAUGCUUACGUAUCUAUAUAAGCUGUAUACAUAGAUUAUAUAUGUAUAUGAUAACUAAAUUGUCGCAGUUGCCUUUUUGUUUGAAUUGAGCUGUCAAAAAUUAGUUAAACCUUCAAUAUGACAGACAACAAGUUAAACAAUUCAGACAGACUUGCUAACAUACAUUCAUAUAUGAGUUGUAUUACAGGAAUAUUCGCUUUGUUUUUAUGCUUUCGUAAUGAGCUUAAACGGAAGUUUUUAUUAAAAAUUUGCAAGUGAGUGAAUACAACAUAUUAUUAAAUAAAUAUAAAUGCAUUUCACUGGCAUGUUGCUUUGAUUUAACGGAUGUAUAAAUACCAGAUCAAAGCGCUUGCACUAACAAAGUAGAAAUUCCAUGUUUAAAAUGAGAAUUUUACGCUGGAUAGUGCUUCCGAAUGACAUUUGUUAUAAGAAGAAAGACAAUUGAUUACAUAAUUAUAUUUAAAGUGACUGACAAGCUGAUUAUGAUUUGAGUGACACCCAUUAUUCAAAUGUUGAUAAUCAUAGAUAAUAAUAGAAAAGUAAAUAGACCGGUGCAUUUCAUAUUGUACCUGUUUGAGCACAAUUUUAAAUAAUAAGGACUUCAGGGCCUUGUAUAUCAGCACAAAAAGUUUUGACAGUUGGAUUUUAUAGCAAUUGGAAAUUUUAAAAUUCCCGUUACUUUUUGAACACACCUCGUAGAAUAUGAAUAAUGUUGAGUUAGAAAGAGGCAACAUUUUCAUCGAGAAAAGAACACGCAUUUAAAUUUUGUCUUUACUUUUGAGAAUUCGUUACGCUGUAACUACUUCCUUCUAUAGAAAUAAUAGGUAUUAAUAUAAGUAAAUAUUCCGUGGAUCUCUGAUUUACUUAAGUAAAAUUUAUCUCGGUAAAAUUUCAAAUACAUUUUAUUUCUCAGAUAGUCUUCUUUAUUUUAAAUUCAAAGAUGAGAGAGAAGAAUUUCCCCUCCCGAAAAGUGCGCUUUGCAAUAAAAUGUCAUUGUCGCACACGUCUGAAUUUAUAAACGAUGGCAACUUGUGUUUUCGAACUAGAACUAGACUAGAAUGCCGAAUGCAACGCAGCAUGACAACAACAACAGCAAAAACAGGAUAUUACUUUGCGAAUACACGAAUAAGACUAGAAAAUGAGAUAAACGAAACAAGAAGAAGAAAGAAACGAACAAGAAUGUAUAUCUGUGUGUGCAACCAAACUAUGUAAAAUGGAAGCAAAAAUGGCAUCAUAAACAAAGCAGAAUGUAUUUCAGUUUGCGGUAAGUAAUGCAAGCCAAGAAAAGCGCAACAAAAGCGCACACUGGAGAGGAGAACGGCUAGUGAGUGCGAGGCAGUUUGCGGAAGUGACAUACAAAGACAAUAAAAGGUUGAAGGACACAUUGUGUCGGGCGCACACACGUGUGUGGCGAGUGCAAGGCAGCAAGGCUGCGGUUGACUUGCGCUGUAUUACAUUAUAUUGAAGAGCAGAAGAGCACCAAACACACACACACACUCAAGUAUAGUUGAUGUGUAUGAAUAAAGACCACUGCUUGUGUGUGUUGUCUGUCGCUGCUUGUUGUGACCACAAGGACACAAAUAAUGGCUGAAGGAUGUGUGGUCGCAUGAGUUGUGAGCCGCAACGCUCUAAGGGAAGGGGGGUCAGCGAGCAGAAUUUUCUAACGGCAGUUUGUGGCAAAAUACCGUUGGUUGGAACUCGAUCAAGUUUUUUUUGUGCUAACCAAAUCGCAAUUGAUGCAUGCAGAAGGAUGCUUGAUAGUCUUUAGGCUUUUAAUGUAAAAGAGCAGGAGUGUGCCACGCGGCACAAAUGUUGGAAGAAAAGAAGUUAGACUAAAAAUACAAAAUAAUUAAAUACAAAAAAAUAUAACGCACAUUGCUUGCAUUUUGCCAACACGCUGUCAUAUCUGGGCUUCAUACAUUUCUUUGCUUUGGAGGCCAUAAAACUGGGAAUAUGCAUAAAAAAGGCAUGUUUUCGCAAAGCCAUAAAAGGCUCUUAUCAACUUCAAUAUUUUCUAAUGGCCGAACACGUGCCGCCCAGCGGGUCCUACAGCAGUGACAACAACAACAAUAAAGCCCUUUGGCUACAGUUACGCAUAAUGAACAUGCAGAGAGACACAACUCGGAUGCGCACGAAUAUUUGGCUGGCAUUUGGCAAAUAAAUGCCUCAAAUGUCCAGCUCAGCGGGUAUAUUCGUUGAAUAAGUGUACAAAAAAAACACCAACAUAAACAAAAAAAACAUAGAAAAUAUUUGCUUUCCUUUUGAUAAGCCUGAGCUAUCGAAAUCUGUUGUUGUUGUGGUUGCCAAAUAUUGCUUUUGUUAGUGUUUGUGCUGUGGCUUCGGCUGGCUGCGUACACACUGUGCCGCCGGCAGUAAAUGUUGACUUUUCGAAAUGGUUUGUAAAUGCUGUUGCUCGCAUUGUGAUUCGAUGAAUGCGACGAUGACUCUGCAACGUACACUCACACACAUGCACUUGUUUGCCUAUGAGUAAGCAAGCCAUCCAUAAUCAGAGUCUGAAAUAUGCAUCACUCAUGUAUGGGUGGGUGUGUGUGUAGGAAACUAUCUUUUCAGUUACUUUGCUGCACUUAGUCUGCGUAAAAGCGUCCGCAUGCAGACAGCAGAAAUAGAAAAUGCCCAAAAAUUGUUUAGAAAUUACUCAUUUGGAAAGAUUUGCUAGCAAUCAGAAGUCCUUCUGUAUGCGUGUGUGUUUAUGUUACCUUGUAUUUGUAUUGAAAAUUCAUAUUUGCUUCAGUAUGCCAUUUUAGCUUUUAAAUUAGGAGGAAGAAGAAACGCAAAAUUUUACAUUUCUUAUUAAUGCAUACAUUUUGAAUAAGCACAUAAGUUAACGGCUUGGAAUAUUUCAUUCCAAUUUUACUCGGAUAGCAAAUUAAUCAAUUAUAUUUUAAAAAAUAACAAAAUUCCUCAGACCGAAAACUGGUUAUAUACAAUACAAAAUUACUACAAGGGCUACAAUGUGAAUGGCAACAGAGGUUGAGUACUAGAAAACUGUUUUUUUUAGGGUUUUCAGAUCCAAAAUAAUUAUUUGAUUUUCUGUUGAACUACUAAAACAACGACUUCUAAACAAAAAUUAAAGGAAUUUUUUACCAUUUCAUAAAGAGAACAGAUUUGCUUCAAAAAGUGGUCGAAAAUUGGGUCUAAUAGCUGGAAUUUAUCUGGUUCCUCGGUGAUCAUUUAAUCAUGUUUAAAAUAUAAUGGCAACUCUUGUCCUCAUGCAAAAGCUAAAAUAUUGGUCAGAAUAUUAAAUAAAUAAUAAAAUAUUAGGUCUACAACUUUGCUUCCGCCGUUUUUUUUAAUUUAAGGAUUUUUUUUGUAUAAAAACGGUUACAAAUGACGAAGAGCCUCAGCCACACUUUUCUUGGAAUUAAAAAAAGAAAAAUUUCCCGCAAAUGUCGAGAAUUUGGCUCAAAAAGUGACUUUUUUAGUUGAGAAUAAGUUUGGGGUGCAAACAGAUCUCUACACAUUUUUGUUGGGUUAAUGUUGACACAAAUGUCCAAGAUCGAUAUAAAACGAUUUAUGCGAUUUAAUGACCCUAGAGACAUCAAUUGGAAAACGGCGGAGCAAAGUUGUAGAAAAAAAAGUCCAAAAAUCAUUUCUCUAAAAACAACAUCCUUCACAUUAAUUAAUUGUUAAAAUUAGUUUUCUAUUUGACAGCUUUAUAAUUAAAAACCGGUUUGAAAAAUUGUAUUUCAUUCCGUUAUAUGCAUCUUCAUUUUCUGUAGAAUUAAAGAUCUUCUGAAUUCGUGGAACCAUUGUUGUUGUUGGUUUUAUUAUAAUAUAAACUAAUCAAUUACAUAUUAUUUUCUACAGAAGAGCGUGGAAUUUCCUUUAAUUAGUUAUAAUUAACAGUUUCGUAAACAUAAAUAUAUAUACCUUGGUAGGUUUUCAAUUCAAAUACACAUAAACUUAUACUUCGACAAAGUGGGGUGUGGACUGAUAGUAGAAUAGACUCCAGUCGAUUAAGCCGAUUAUAUUUUAUUUAGUCGACUCUCGCAAUAUUUAUAAAAAAGCAUUUGAUAUUUUUAGAAAAUCACCGGUAUUGGUAUAUUGUGGAGAUUCCUAGAAAGCAAUUCCAUAUUUCUAAUGACUUUUUAUGAAAUUAGAAGACAGCCAAAAUAAAUAUAGUCACUUAAUAAAAAGCAAAGCAAACACAUUUGUGUAUAUGUAUACGUGUAUUUAUGUACAGCUACCCAAAAAGACAAAUAGAAAUUUAUUUUUGCGCAUCGCAACCUCAAGAAACAGACUAUUGCGUUAAAAAAAGAUAAAACCUAAAAGAAGAAGAAAUAUAAAAAGAAUAGUUUAUUUGAUCAUAAAAUAUAUAUAUACAUAUUUAUAAGUAUAUAUGUAUGUAGAAUCAUUGUUUAUGGUUUUGUUAGAUAUAAAACAAACAUCUUCUGUAAUUAUUUUUUUUUCUAGUAGUUCAAAGCAAUUGGAACUUAAUUACUAAUUAGCUAGUGAUUCAUUGAAAACAUAAAAAAAUGGUUCCAUCUAAAUGAGUAAAUAUAUGAUUGUUUAUAUUUUAACUACCAGCGGAAAUUAGUUCACUUAGAAAUGUUUUACAUAAUUUUUUUAAAAUGUUCUUAUAGUUAUAUUUUUGAUAUAAAAUAAACACAUUCAAUUAUUUAAUAGAAAGAUACAAACAAAAUCCAUAAAAGAAGUGUAUUUCCAUUUGAAGAGCCAAUUGUUCUCAAAUAUUCUACUAACGAAGCACACAAGCGCCCAAAUGAAUUCAUAAAUGAAUUUCGUUAAAAAUUGAGAAGCGUGUUGGCAUUUCAAGUUCAAUUAUAUGUCAAUGCUGGGCAUUGACUUCGUAGCAAUUUUCGACAAUUUCAAAUAAAGACAACAACAAUUUGCUUUUAAGUUUAGUGACGUUAUCGGCGUGAACAUUUGUGAGUGGUUAUUUCAUGUACAUUAAAGAAACUAAAAAGACAUAUAUGAAACUAUAGAAUUAAGUGAAUAAAGUUGUUUUUGUGAAUUUUUAAAUGCGGAAAUAAAAUGCUACAAUUUUUCUCUUUAACACAAAGAUGUUUUGAAUUAUCAAUGAAACUAAUAUUUUACCAGAUACAACUUGCGAAGUGACUGAGAUGUCGUGAAAUAUGACCUCCCAACAGGAAGUCCAAGGAGUUUUUUCUAAAUAGCAUUGACUUCUAAAAGUUGAUGUUAAAACACUAUCUAUGGCAAUGAAGUGCUCCAGUUGCCCAGAUAAAAUAGGUCAACCCUAAACACUGCACUUAACUCUACAAAUAUUCUCAGUGUGUCUUAAUUCUGUCAAAACAGCAAAUUCUCCGGUAUCUCCGGUCAAUUAGAUUGAGAAAAUAAAAGAAAUAAAUAAAUUAGAUUUCAACUAAACAGACCUUUCAUAAGAGGAUUUUUCGACGAAUCUCUCAUUAUUUUCGUGUCAUGGUAUCAAAAAUUCAUACAUAUAUUAAUUUAAUUUAAAAAUAACGGUAUAAAUUAUUAAAAUUUCUGAAUAAUACAUUACGAAAAAUAUCAAUAUUUUUACAAAUAAUCAGUAGCGCGCUGAUAAACUUUCCUCAGGGUCAAAAGCAUGUAUUUAUUCAUUGAAAUUAUUUUGAAAUGCUUAUCGCUGUUUGCGGAUGCCGUUGCUUAGAGCAAAUAUAUUUAAAAGUGUUCACGUUCAUUUUUACACAUACUCAGAAAAAAGAUUUAAUAUAUAUACUUAGGUACAUACAUAUAUACAUAUUAAUAGUAAAUAAUAAUCGAGAUGAACUAGAAAUAUGUCGUGUCAUAAUCCAAUUGAUUUGAAAUUAAACAACACUAACAAUUUAUUUUAAAAGAUGUUGUACGCUAUAUCUGUAAUAAUUUCUUAAAAUAGCCUAAGUCGAAAUGAGUUAAGAAAUAUUUCUUAAUUUCUAGUAAAUAUAAUUUUAAAUAAAUUUGAACUCUCUGCUAAAAAAUAUGAAUAUUUAAACUGAACUAAAACUUCAAAUCUUAAGUGAGUUGGUCAACAUAUCAUGAAUUUUCAGCACAAGCUUAACUUGACUUAAAAGCUACUCCAACAUACCGGCUCGGAUAUUUAUUACUUAGGAGAAUAAUAACAUUUGUUUACUUAUUUCGACUGCUAAAGCUCAUCUGUUGAGCAUACAGCAAUGGAUAUAUACUACCAGUUUCCACAACAAAUAAACACAUUUAAACAAUUUUUAUGAUCAAACAGCACAACUAAUACUUUUAACAAUCAUAAAAAGGCAAAUAAAAAAUAAAUAAAUAUAUUUUUUCUCACCCAUUAAAUGAAACGUAAAACGGAGCAUUCACUCAUUUACGACAUUUACAAGAUUGGCCACACGAUAAAGUUGGUCACAAACGGGACGCGCAUUUGUCGCCGCCAUUUCCACGCUCUCCUCCUCUGUCACAGAGCGCGGCUGUGAAUAAAUAGUUAAAAAGUGUCAUUUGCACCAGACAGCGACAACGACAUUGACAUUCCGUUAUUUUUCCACCAUCGACGGCGCGCCGCCACACUGCCGUGCCCCAUUAGUGGCGAGACCUCAUUAACCUUCCGAAGGCAACGGAUGCUGUGUAUGCGCGCGGACAGACAUUGGUACACAUCUACUUCCAUAGAUACUCUAUAGACAUUUUAUAUGUGGCAGCGGGGGUGUGUGGCGGGCGCGACAAUUUUUAGCGAUCGAUAUCAGCUGUGCUAGCGCAACGCUCGAAUCGACGUAUGUGUGGAAUUGACACCGACUGCCAAAUUAAAAUGACAAGUGGGGCGGGACGUUAGAUUUGUUUGGUUCCAAUGAAAUGAAACGCUGGUUAUAACAGCAUGAAGGUCUCUGGAGCCAGAGUCGGCAGCUGCGACUUUUAAUUCAUUAGUGGUGACAUGAAGGCGAGUUUUUGGAGCGGAAGAAUGUAGGUGUAUGUGAAAGGGUCUCGAAUUGGAACUAUGCAAUGUUAUCAGUUAUCGACAUCCAUUUGGGAAGAUAUUGGCUGUAAUAUUUUAAGAAUUUCAGAAGAUUUUUUUUAUUGAAAAAUAACGUUUUUAAAAUUUCAUUUAAAUAGGACCAGUUGUUUAGGAAGAGUUCAGUGACAUUCACACGUACAGAAGAAAUGCAAUUCAUAAAUUAUUCAAACAAUCCAACUCACUUUAUUAAAGAAAGUAAGUCAGAUAAUUCUUUCAAACAAAGAAUUCUUUACACUUAAGUUCAUUUUUCCAUUUUUUUUUUCAAAUUAAAUUGAACACAUUUCAAUGCAAAUACCAGAAAAAAAUCUUAAUUGAUGAGUUCGCUUUGAUCUGCGAUAAGCCGACUUAAGGAGCACCUGAAUAAAAAGAACUCUCCCACACACUCACAUAAAAAAUAGAAACACACAAAUGAAUGGCGUACAAAAAUGCGUUGCGCAUUAAAUUUUCAUUUUCCCUGUCGCCUCGCUUUGUAUUUGCAUUUGAAUUGAGAAAUCUAAACGACUCACCACCCGCACGCCUCAUUUCAUAUGACGCAGUGGCAUUCAAGUGACAACGCGGGCAUUUUCCGCCACUUACACUUAAUCACAUUAGUUGAGCAUCCAGCGAGUGUGUGAUGAUAUACUACAUAUAUAAGUAUGUGUGUGUUUGUAUGCUUGUAUUGGAACAUAUGUCUAACGGUAUAUAGUCGAUGCUGCUGAUUGCCACUUUGUCAUUUAUAUAUCAUAUUUGAGAAGCACGAAGAAAAAAUAUGAAAAAUACUUCAAAAAUGAACACACAAUAAUAGACAUGACAACAAUAACAACAACAAACACAACAAUAAUAGCAACUAUGCAACACGCUUAUCAGUCAACUCCAGCCUCCACUGUGGCCCUGCCAAGAGUGCUCAUAAACGUAGGCAGUGACAGGGGAGCCGGGCAGCGACAUUACAUAUAGCGCACACUUUGAAGAGUGGCAAAUAUCGUGAAUGGGAGACAAAUAGGAGAUGAUGGGGGAACGCGCUUGUCUUGUCUGACAUUCGUUGAUUUGAUGUGAUUUGCUACGCAUUGUCUUCCAUGUAAAUCUGUUUGUUUGCGUAUGUUUGUGUGUAAUCUUGAUAUUACUUAUGGCUUUAUUAUGGAGAUCAAUGCUGUCAUCAUUAGCGAAGCAAUAAAAUUAAUCUAAGUAAUUAUUACUUUUGACGGCAGCAAUUGGAGCGUUGCGAAGUAAAUCAUACUUCGAUGCUAUGAAAUCCCUUUGAGUUGAAGUUGAGGAGGAAAAGUUAAUCUGGAUGAACUCUAGCUGUAAAUAUGUUUGGUGUUCUUAUAGGAGAUGAUUAUAAUUUGUGAGUGAUUUUAUUAAGAACAGAUGUACUUAAAUGUUUUUGGAGUUAAUUGUUGCCAGUGAUAUUUUGUAUGAGAUUUGAUUCUAUAAACUCUUUAAAUAAAAUGUGAGAGUCUUUAGUCUUUAGUACUAAAUAUAUUUUUAGUUUAGGCGAGAUCUUUUAAGUACAGUACUGGGUUGCGUAACACAUACUCAAGUUCUUUAGUGAAGAACUACAUCUUUAAGCAAUAAGCACUUCGUAAAAGAUAUUUAGAAGUAUAACUGUUUACCAUCCUUUGAAGUACCUCAUAAUCAAUAUAUGUUAAUAUUCAAUAAUAAUAAUAAUACUUGCAGUUAUCAUAAAAUUAAGAAUUUUCCUCGUAGAAUAAACUGUAGACUUCAAAAAUCUAAAAGACUCACAUUUGCUUUGUCAUCAGACACCUUAGAGGAAAUUAAAACUUACCGCAGAUUUAGAAGAAAAUAAUUAAUUUCCAACUAAAUACGCAAACUUGAAACCGCAUUGACGCUUAAUAAACACAAAAAUCAUUACGAACAGCUGGGAAUCACAAGUCACACGAAGCGGCUGUUCGAACUUGAACAGAUACUGGUUUCAUUGGAUAUACAUACAAACAUAUAUCUAUGUAUAUCGUAUAUAUUGUUGAGAUCGUCAAUUUAACGUUUUUAACAUUAAUGCGCAACAAAAAGAAUAUUCUCAUAUAUCUUUCUGUAUACAAUAUAUUUGUGUUUAUAUAAAGGCGUGCAUAUGUACAUAUGUUUAUGUGUUUAUAUUCGCGAAUUUCAAGGUCUUCCGGCAAAAUCGGAAAGGGGAAUUGCAUUUUUACAUUGAAUUAGGCGCACUUUUGUAUUCAAUGCGGCAUGUUUAUAAUAGAUAAAUAAAUAUGACUACCUGUAUAUUGGCUGUAUGAAUCAAAUUGUUAUAAAUUCCGCAUACAAAAAAAAAACUACAGUUAAACGCAAACAACUCUUCGCUCUUAUUUCUGAAAAUAAAGUGAUCGCUUUCUCAGCGCUGAGAAGACAAAGAGCAGAGCAUUACACAUGUGGCUCUUCGUACUCUUAUAUUUCUCUAACACUGAGUUCACUGCUUCCACCUGCUCUGAGUCAAUUUGAUUCAAGUCUGAGAGAGCGCGUCUGCAUUGAUGACGAACGGAAAUGAUUCCAGAUGUAUCUGUUUUAUACUUAGUGAGAUUUAAAAUUUGGCUAGACUAAAAGUUAACCCUAACAUGCCACCUAACGAUUUUUGGUUAUGCACGAGGUGUGUUAAAAAUAUAACGUACAUUUUCGUUUUUUGAAAAUACAAAUUUCAAAAUAGUCCCCAUUUGAUAUUAUGCACAUGUUCCUGGGCUUCUUCCAAUCAUCGAAAUACUUCGUAAACGCGAUUUUUGGGAUAGCCUUUAGCUCUUCCAGCGAUUUCUCGUAUGCUUAUAAAACGACGACGACUUAAGGCUCUUUCUCUUUAUUUUUGGAAAUAGGAAAAAGUCACCCGGACAGCUGAUAAAUUUCUUCAGGGGCAUGUACAUAUAUAAAAACUAAAAAAAUUGAUAUUUGGUCUCUCCAAACCUGUGAACUUUUAAAUUCAAAUUCCCGUUAUUUUCUGAACACACCACGUAAGUGAAUUAUUUUUGUAUAGAAAGUGUAAAUAAGUUAAUUUUUACACUUUCAUUGACCCGAAUUUUAUUAUUAAAUUUGUUAAACAAAAAUAUCUAGUUGUUUACCCAAAAAAGGCAACAGCACUCAGGUACAAUGUGGGCAAAAUUAAACAAAGCAUUCCUUAGAUAACUUCCGUUAUGCGAAUAGCGCUUAACGGCGGUGUGUCAACAGCAGCCAUCGCCACUGACAGGUGCGCAGUUGCUGCUGACUCAUAUUGAAAAAUUAAAUGAAUUGCCAAAGCGCCACAAAAUAUUAUUCAUUUGCACCCUUUUAACCCAACACACUUUUCACUUCACACCUCCGCUCUAAUAAAUUGCACAUUUGUGUUGGUGUAAUUUGAGCUUUCGCUUUCACAGAGCUUUUUCUAGCCAAUAAAUACGUCGAUUUUUACGCAAAUUUGUUGUGUGAAUAAAUGAAUAAUCACUCAUUCAAAUGAAAAAAUUAAAAUCGACACAGGGAUGCAUUGCACUGGCUAAUAAAUUCUUUUUCGGCGCUUGAAAAAUGAAUUAUUUGCAUUUCAAAAAGUUAUGCUUUCAAAGUUGUGAAAUUAAAACCCCCCCCUUUGUAUGAGCAGCAACAGCAACAAAUGAAUAUUCACAGUCAAAUUGAAGUGAUUUUCAAUAGCAAACAGCAAGCGAUUGCCCGUUUCGCUGCUGUGCUGUUAUUGUUAUUGUGGCUUUGAAUAUUUGCUAGUCUCACCUUCCUGUUCUAAUAACCCAGAUCGUUAUGGCAAAAGAACAACGGACAAAAACACACACCUCGACAACAAACACUUCGCAUGUUGCAACAACAACAGCAACUUGAUUGCAACAAUUUGCAUGUACCCCCGUCUCCUUCGAAAGCUUAACCUCACUUUCAUAUCCACUGGACUUGCAGAACCACUCUCCUGCUGCACUCACUCACUCUAUCUUCCAACAAACCAUUUUCUAUGGCAUAGAUAUUGUUGUUCUUGUUAUUGCUUCAUUGAUGACCGCUUGGUGUGCUGAUGGCGCUCGGCGUGUUAUGUGUUGCCAACAAUUUCUGUUUCCUGACAGUUGUCCACUGUAUUGGUGGUGGAAUUGUUGUGGCAUAUAACCGCAGUGCAAGGCGAAACAUUGCAACGGAAAGUGUUGCAACUACAGCAGCACUAACAACAAGCGCAUAGUUGUUAUCUUCAUCAUAGUAGUUUCAACUUUUGUUUGUUACAUUGGCACCUCUAAUGUUUUGACUUAUGGGUUAUUACGGUAUUUGUGUUGUUAUUGUUAUUAUUGUUCUAGUUGUUUCGCUUGUUAUUGUUGCGAUUACAGCGCAAAGUCAAAUUGCAUGGCAAGUUGCUCGCAUGCAAAAUAAUUAAAACUUUUUUUUGAGGUUUACAGUUGACUGAACGUUGUCAAUGGCAACCGGGCACUGUGGGAUUGUAUGAGUUGGAAAUGGGAUAAUUAAAUAAUUAUAAAUACAUAUGGAUAUAUGUAUGUAAAUGUAGUUGAAAGAGAUGUCAGUUUAGGUUGUAUUAAUUGAAUGAAAUGUGAUUGAAAGCUCAGCUCCAUUAGAAUUAGUUUAUAAUAAUGGGAUCGAAGAACAUAUAAGCCAUCAUAUAAAUGAGUUCAGAAAUAGCGACUUCAACUUCUCUCUGUUUGACUAACACUCUCAUAGCAUAUGUAUAUAUUAGGGUGUUCCAUAAAUAUUUUAUGAUUUUACCUCCUCAGAUUUCCCGAAACUUAACCACUAUAACAGCUGAUAUGGGAAAUAUAACAUAUGAAUUAUUUGUCGUAAGGGUGUAUUUAGACCCUGAGAGAAAAUGAAUUGCCAUUGAAAUAAAUUCAAACUCAACUAGAACCGGAUCAACGUUACCGGAAUUUAUGCAGAUUUUGUCCGAACAAGGUCUUUCAUUUUAGGGAUCUAUCCAGGCUUGAAUCGGUAGAUAAAAAAAUAUUAGGUGUCAGAGCAUAUGUCUCCUCGGUAGCCUCUUAAAUCGAUAACUGUUAUUAUCGAGGUAUCGUAUAUUGAUUUUGGUCCGGAAAAUAGACGUCAUUAGUAUCCCACUAGAUGUCAUAUGUAUCUUAACAUGCUAUCUGACUUAGGAAUAUUUUUCUCUAUGACACCUUUUAAAUAUCUUAAAUCGCCGUGAAAUUUAUUAGUAAAAUCAUUGACCUUUCUGGGAUAAGACUCUGUAGUUAUUCAAAUUUAAAUGUUCAUUCUUUUACAUAUCUAUUCAUGUAUAUUUAUGAGAAACAUAUAUGUACAUAUAUUCAGUAAAUAAAUGUCUUUAAAAUAAGAAUCUUAUUGCUGCAACAUUAUAUCUCAAAAUCCCAUUUAGCAAUUUUUAAUACGUCACAUCCUCACAACCUCAAUUAACAGAUUAUUGAUGCAGGAGCUUUUUGGAGCAUUCCUCUAUCCUCUGCUAUACUUUGACGACAAUGUGGCCACCACUCCCCGCAACCACUUUGACAUUUUACAGUUCGUCGUGUUACUGACCACUUGUGCGCCCUUGGCAAAGGUGACAUCACUUUCGAAAGCGAGACUCGAGUCGGGGAGCGAGGAAGGCGGCAGAGCAGUGAGACUGGAAAUUGCGCGACGAUAAAAACUAUAAAUUCAUUUCUGCCGCCAUGGCUAUUCAUUACUAUAUUUUCCUACUGUUAUGUUUUGCUUUUUCUUUCUCUCUUCUUGUUUUGUAAUUUUCAUUUUUCGUCUGGUUCUCUGUUCUGCUUCCAAAGAGCCCAUUAGAAUGAGGAUCAAGCGAAUGGCAGAGAAUACAGUUAGACAGAAAUAUGGCAAAAGUGGCGACAAAAACAAAUUUGCUUUUGUUAUUUGAGCAGUGCUAUUCAAAACAAUGAGAGCAACGAGCGCUCAAGUGGUGAAGCGCCACCAAUUGACCAUUGUUUUAGUCAUUGCGAGUUAUUAUUGUAUUUGUAUUUGUUAAGCUCCUCUGGUCAACGCCUCGCCUCGCCAAUGACGCGACACGCUAACAACACGAUUGCAUUGCAGGCGAGAAGCGUGUGAGCUGAGUGAGAGGAAUCGAAAGUGGAGUAGUACAGUGCAAAAGCUAACACUGAGGGCAAUCACGGCAACGUGAAAUGAGCGCAGCACCAAAGGGACUGGGGAAAACGACCAACAAUGCCAACAAACACUGUACUAUUUAUAAAUUGGGUGAGAAACUCUGUAGUGAAUGCCUGGCACGAGGCUAGAGGUGGUUGAGGGUGUGGUUGUUCUGCGGUGAAAGUGGCGUGGAAAUAUUAAUGCCAUAAACUUUGUGGCAGAAUAUGAGGUUAGCUGGCGAUUGGGUCUGUCCGAUAGGUGGAAAAUUUAUGUUAAUUUGUGUGAUAAAAAAAAAUAGUAAGUGAGUUUGUAUUAUAUAAAAAAUAGUAAUAAAUAACAAACACAUAGGUUUUCUAGCGCAUACUAUAUGAAAAUUAACUUAAUUACUUAGCUUGUAACAGCUGAAAUAUAUCCUUAUUUUCCGAAAUACAUAAAUGUUCAAAUAUCAAAAACGUUUUUGAAGUGGAGUGAGAAAGCUGAGAGUCACUUUUAAACUUUCACACUGGUUGAACAUUUGUCAUUAAAAAAGGCAUAAAAAAUGUUAUAAUUUGGAUAUAAAAUGUUAAUAUUUAACACUCUUUCAAUGAGUCAGGCACACAUCAUAUUCCUGUAACUCCAACACGAGCAUAGGACAUGUGAAAGUCUCAUACACCAGGACUUUGAUUCGCUUGGUAUUAGGAAAAUGUAUUUAAAAUAGUAAAAGCAGUUAUUUACUCAUCGAAUUUCCAUCAACAUUACAUGUCCAAGGAAAACCGAGGGAGAACUUUAUGAAGCAUUUAUGAAUCCACGUAAAAAAUGCAUAUAUAUAGUAUCUUCUUCUUCUAAAAUAUUUGCAGUUUAGUUCUCAUAUAUAGCUACUACUCAUAAAUUCAUAAAUCAUAAAAAAAUGUGUCUUUUUCAUACCGUGCCGUAUGUGUGGUAUACGUAACUUUUAAUCGUUUUUCCAAGUAGUAUAUUUAUAUUACGAAUUACUCUAUAAAAUUAAAAAUUUCAAUUGUAGUAAUCUUCAGAGUGUCUUAUUCAUAUUUUGUACAAUUUUUAACAACACGUUUUACUUCUCUUGCAGCUUAAUCCAUCAGCCGAUUUACUGAAAAUUGUUUACGAAGCUCUGCAUUGAG